rnacentral:rRNA from 1 species
UUAAAUUGAAGAGUUUGAUCAUGGCUCAGAUUGAACGCUGGCGGCAGGCCUAACACAUGCAAGUCGAACGGUAACAGGAAUCAG